CCCCUCAAGAUGAGAUUUCCCAUUUCUUCGGAAAGUAAGAUCCCUGAAAGAUGAUCAGGUAGAUAGGUUUGGAGUGGAAGUGUAGCGAUACAUGGAGCGGACAAAUACUAAUCGAUCGAGGACUUAACCAAAA
rnacentral:rRNA from 1 species